AUUGAACGCUGGCGGCAGGCCUAACACAUGCAAGUCGAGCGGAUGAAGGGAGCUUGCUCCUGGAUUCAGCGGCGGACGGGUGAGUAAUGCCUAGGAAUCUGCCUGGUAGUGGGGGAUAACGUCCGGAAACGGGCGCUAAUACCGCAUACGUCCUGAGGGAGAAAGUGGGGGAUCUUCGGACCUCACGCUAUCAGAUGAGCCUAGGUCGGAUUAGCUAGUUGGUGGGGUAAAGGCCUACCAAGGCGACGAUUCGUAACUGGUCUGAGAGGAUGAUCAGUCACACUGGAACUGAGACACGGUCCAGACUCCUACGGGAGGCAGCAGUGGGGAAUAUUGGACAAUGGGCGAAAGCCUGAUCCAGCCAUGCCGCGUGUGUGAAGAAGGUCUUCGGAUUGUAAAGCACUUUAAGUUGGGAGGAAGGGCAGUAAGUUAAUACCUUGCUGUUUUGACGUUACCAACAGAAGAAGCACCGGCUAACUUCGUG
rnacentral:rRNA from 1 species